AUAGUUACAAAUAUAACAAACGACGCUGGUCUCACUUUUAUUAAACAUUUUUGUUAAGAAAUAAAAACAAAUCCCCGUGCAAAAUUACUGGCUCCUUCCUGCUACUGAUUUUGAUGCAACUUUCCUCGGUGAAAAUGGUCAAGAGAAGAGAACUAUCUGUGGAUAUCAGAAAAAAAAUCAUUGCAAAACAUAAAAAGCUAAAAGGCUACAAAUCCAUUUCGAAAGAUCUUGGUGUUCCUGUCUCAACAGUUCGCAAUGUUAUCAAGAAAUUUGCAACCCAUGGGACAGUAUUGAACCAAGCAGGACGUGGGCGUAAGAGGAAAAUUGAUCAGAAGUCUCUGCGACGGCUGGUGAGAACUAUUAAAAAAACACCACGUGCAACUGUUGAAGACUUAAAGGUUGACCUUGAGAGAUCUGGAACAGUAGUCUCCGCUACCACUGUCCGCAGGGCUCUAAAUCAGGAAGGGUUAUGUGGCUGCAGGGGCCUGUCGUUGAAAAGGACACAAAAGGGGCAGCCUGAACUCUUGAAAAGAAAAACAAAACAAAAAAAUCUUAAACUAGCCUAAGGCUUCCUAGAAAAAUGUUCUACUGAUGAACAAAUGUUGCAUUUGCUCCUGAGCUGCUGAAAUAAAUCAGAGGACAGAUCAAAAGAGCUCACAGAAUAAAUGUUAUAGACAAAUCAAGAAGUUAAGAGGGAUCCUCAAAAACUGAAACGAUGCAAGAAGUAGCUAAGGAGACGACUGAUGUUAGGUCAUCCACAGUAUGGACAAGUUUCUUGUCGUUUCCCAGCCCAGUUUUGGUCCUGUUCUGCCUACUGCUAAUUGUUUUUUUAUGUUGUAUUCCACACGGACUCAACCAUGCUCAUUUUUACACUGAUCUUUGCUGUGUUAAUUUUGCAAACUAAAUGGUAUACAUUUACUAGUGGUUACAAGUUCACUGAUUUCUUCAGAGGACUGAAAUGUAUGCGUGAAUAGCCACUGAAUGUGAUGGUAUCAUAGCAGCUUUGGAAUUGGGGUUAAAUUUGUCCUCUCUACUAACUGCCCUGUGUGACCUAGGGCCUGUAUCAUGAAGCAAGGUUUGUUGGUUAGCUGGAUAACUUAGAUUUAAGGUGUGCCAGUUUAAAUGAAGUUUGUCUUCAUUCACUCACAUUUGCUGUUAUAUAGCUAAGCAAGAAAUCCUGUUUUAUGAUACAGACCCCAGGGUAAUUAUGAUUAUUAUUAUUGCUCUUGUUACCUCUAUUUGUAUCAUACACAUUAAUAAUUUAACUUAAUUGGGAAUGUCUGUACUGCAGAUAUUGUUAGGGAUCAUUUGGUGGUCUUUAUAAAUGCACUACAGGAGACUUUAAAGUAGAAAGAACUUUUUUCCCCUUUUAGGAUGUUUUACUGCAGAUAGUCCACAAGUCCUUUUUAGGAAAUGACAUUGCCCACUAGAUGGCUCCCUUCCUGUAUGUAUAAUAUCAACAAUCUUGGCUUGCAACAGGAUUUCUGGCUAGUAGUUCACUAGAAUUAGUAAAUAAAACAUAUUUGCAAGA